UAUUGGACAAUGGGUGCAAGCCUGAUCCAGCCAUCCCGCGUGAAGGAUUAAGGUCCUAUGGAUUGUAAACUUCUUUUAUACAGGGAUAAACCUCUCCUCGUGAGGAGAGCUGAAGGUACUGUAUGAAUAAGCACCGGCUAACUCCGUGCCAGCAGCCGCGGUAAUACGGAGGGUGCAAGCGUUAUCCGGAUUUAUUGGGUUUAAAGGGUCCGUAGGCGGACCAAUAAGUCAGUGGUGAAAUCCUACAGCUUAACUGUAGAACUGCCGUUGAUACUGUUGGUCUUGAGUGUAGUUGAGGUAGCUGGAAUGAGUAGUGUAGCGGUGAAAUGCAUAGAUAUUACUCGGAACGCCAAUUGCGAAGGCAGGUUACCAAGUUACAACUGACGCUGAUGGACGAAAGCGUGGGGAGCGAACAGGA
rnacentral:rRNA from 1 species